rnacentral:rRNA from 1 species
CCUACGGGAGGCUGCAGUGGGGAAUAUUGCGCAAUGGGCGAAAGCCUGACGCAGCGACGCCGCGUGAGGGAUGAAGGUCUUCGGAUCGUAAACCUCUGUCAGCAGGGAAGAACGGUCACUGUGCUAAUCAGCAGUGAAUUGACGGUACCUGCAAAGGAAGCACCGGCUAACUCCGUGCCAGCAGCCGCGGUAAUACGGAGGGUGCGAGCGUUAAUCGGAAUUACUGGGGGCAAAGCGCUCGUAGGCGGUAUGUCAAGUCAAGGGUGAAAUCCCCGCGCUCAACGUGGGAACUGCGUUUGAGACUGGCAAACUGGAGUGUGUGAGAGGAUAGUGGAAUUCCAGGUGGAGGGGUGAAAGCCGUAGAGAUCUGGAGGAACAUCAGUGGCGAAGGCGACUAUCUGGCACAUAACUGACGCUGAGGAGCGAAAGCGUGGGUAGCAAACAGGAUUAGAUACCCCGGUAGUC